rnacentral:sRNA from 1 species
UAAGCCUUAUGUCGCACGUCGGUCAGCGAGUUUUCGCCCACCGGCGUAUUUUG